rnacentral:rRNA from 1 species
GUCGAGAAUUUUUCACAAUGGGCGAAAGCCUGAUGGAGCGACGCCGCGUGGGGGAUGAAGGGCUUCGGUCCGUAAACCCCUGUCAUUUGCGAACAAACCUUUCCACCUAACACGUGGAGAGCUGAUUGUAGCGAAAGAGGAAGGGACGGCUAACUCUGUGCCAGCAGCCGCGGUAAUACAGAGGUCCCAAGCGUUGUUCGGAUUUACUGGGCGUAAAGGGUGCGUAGGUGGCGAGGUAAGUUUGAUGUGAAAUCUCCGAGCUCAACUCGGAAACGGCAUUGAAUACUAUCCCGCUUGAGGGUCGGAGGGGAGACUGGAAUUCUCGGUGUAGCAGUGAAAUGCGUAGAUAUCGAGAGGAACACCAGUGGCGAAGGCGAGUCUCUGGACGACUCCUGACACUGAGGCACGAAAGCUGGGGGAGCAAACAGGAUUAGAUACCCUUGUAGUCC